GUUUUAGUAACAAUAACUAACUAGUUCCAUUUUUAAACAUUUAACUUGGAAUGUGGAACGUUUGUGUUUUGUUUGUGCUCCCAGCGAUAUCGAGCGCGGCGAAUAUAUCAUUUGGAAACAGGAAUAAACGGCAAGAUUACUGGAGUUGGGGACUGGUCGAGGAUAAUGUGCCAAAAAAUGUAAGUUUUACUA